rnacentral:rRNA from 1 species
GACGAACGCUGGCGGCGUGCUUAACACAUGCAAGUCGAACGGAAAGGCCCCUUUGGGGGUACUCGAGUGGCGAACGGGUGAGUAACACGUGAGUAACCUGCCCUUGACUUCGGGAUAACUUCAGGAAACUGGGGCUAAUACCGGAUAGGAAUCCUUGCUGCAUGGUGGGGGUUGGAAAGCUUCUGCGGUUUGGGGUGGACUCGCGGGUUAUCAGCUUGUUGGUGGGGUAGUUGCUUACCAAGGGUUUGACGGGUAGCCGGCCUGGGAGGGCGACCGGCCACAUUGGGACUGAGAUACGGCCCAGAACCCUAAGGGGGGGAGGAGGGGGGAAUAUUGCCCAAUGGGCGGAAGCCUGAUGCAGCAACGCCGCGUGGGGGAUGAAGGGCUUCGGGUUGUAAACCGCUUUCAGCAGGGGCGAAGCUUGUGGUGACGGUACCUGCAGAAGAAGCACCGGCUAACUACGUG